AGAAAAGAAUAGAACUUAUUCCUAUGUUAGAAUGGUAACCAUUACCAUGUUACAUAGUAACGGAAAUUUUUGUGAGAAUUCUGAAAUAUUGCUGUAGUAUGUU